rnacentral:rRNA from 1 species
UACGGAGGGGACUAGCGUUGUUCGGAAUUACUGGGCGUAAAGCGCACGUAGGCGGAUUUGUAAGUCAGGGGUGAAAUCCCGGGGCUCAACCUCGGAACUGCCUUUGAUACUGCAAAUCUCGAGUCCGGAAGAGGUGAGUGGAAUUCCUAGUGUAGAGGUGAAAUUCGAUAGAUAUUAGGAAGAACACCAGUGGCGAAGGCGGCUCACUGGUCCGGUACUGACGCUGAGGUGCGAAAGCGUGGGGAGCAAACAGG